UCCGGGCCUUCGUCCGGAUUCUGCUGGGGGUCGCUCACACCGGCCCUCGGUUGGAUUGACGAGCGAGCAUGCGCUCGGCUCAGAA
rnacentral:tRNA from 1 species